rnacentral:rRNA from 1 species
UACGUAGGGUGCGAGCGUUGUCCGGAUUUAUUGGGCGUAAAGAGCUCGUAGGCGGCUCGUUGCGUCGGCUGUGAAAACCCGCAGCUCAACUGUGGGCUUGCAGCUGAUACGGGCGGGCGUGGGAUUCGGUAGGGGAGACUGGAAUUCCUGGUGUAGCGGUGAAAUGCGCAGAUAUCAGGAGGAACACCUGUGGCGAAAGCGGCGCACUGGACCACAACUG